UGCCAGCAGCCGCGGUAAUACGGAGGGUGCAAGCGUUGCUCGGAAUCACUGGGCGUAAAGCGUACGCAGGCGGCUUGUUAAGUCGGAUGUGAAAGCCCGGGGCUCAACCCCGGAACUGCAUUCGAAACUGGCAGGCUUGAGUACGGGAGAGGGAAGCGGAAUUCCUGGUGUAGAGGUGAAAUUCGUAGAUACCAGGAGGAACACCCGUGGCGAAAGCGGCUUCCUGGCCCGAUACUGACGCUCAUGUACGAAGGCGUGGGGAGCAAACAGGAUUAGAUA
rnacentral:rRNA from 1 species